GCGUCUCAGCAGAGAGGAAGCCCGCUUCAUGUUAAAGUUGAUCCAGUUGUGCUGUUCUAAACAGGCCUUCUUCGCCUCCACUGUUGGAAUAUCUCUAUACCUCCCUAUAAUCAAAGGAGUCCUGCAGAGUGAAAUUCUGACUGUAAUAAAAUAUUAAAGAGACAUAUGCAUUGUGUUUUGUUCUAAAAUUUUCCCUACACUUGAAUCUAUUAUAUAACUCUCUUAACUACUUUGUGAUGCAUCGUGGUACAUUGAACUGUAAAGGUUAUGUGAAAUUUGUACUAAUAUUCAGCUCUAGAAUCCAGUCAAAUGUGUCCUUUUUUACUUUGAGCACCUGCCCCUUCAGUGGUCUCUGCGCGGCCCUGGUUGAGAUUAAAGUGAAGUUACAAGACGGGGUUGUUUUUUUUAACUUUAAUGUCUGACUAGAGCGCUGGAGUUUACUUGGAAAUUAAUAAUUAGCUUGUUUUUAAUAUUGAUGCUGGGAAUAUUGCCUAAUUAAAGAGAACAACCCUGACUGCAAACAUGUUAAUA